UACCUGACAGUAAUAUUUGGUAAUAAAUUCAAUUCAAUUUAUUAAAGAUAAGUUGAAUAAAUAAGUUAGUGGUUGUACCAUUUCAUUUUUAGUCUUCAUCAAAAGAAAAUUUGUAAUAUUAUCAUAGCCAGAGCUGUUCUUAGUUUUCUAAUCUUUAACAAUGAUAAUAAUGAUAACUAAUGAUACAUGUACAUGUAGUUAGUGGUUGUACUAUUUCAUUUAUAGUCUUCUUCAAAAGAAAUUUAUAAUAUUAUCAUAGCCAGAGCUUUUCUUAGUUUUGAAAUAUUUAACAAUGAUAAUAAUUUUACAAGAAGUAAUGGGAGUAACAACUAUAGAUUGAUUUUUGUGUUCUUUUAAAAAUGAUCGAAAAUCAACAUCGGAAUUUGGAAUGUCGCGGGCAAGAUUUGGGCUGUUACAAUUUGUUAAUGAAAUAAUCAUUAAAUGUUUCAGCAAUCAACAUUGCAUUUCUAUUUUCGGAGCUGUUGAUCAUAAUUGUAGGAAUAGAUGAUGAUUUUUUUUUAUUAAGACCAUUGUUUAUCACCUUCCACGUACUUGAGACAUCAUAUUUACUUUGAUCUGAUAUAAUUUUUUUGUGCUUAUAAAAAAGGCAAUUUUGCCGGUUAAUACAAUGAAGAAGAGACUUAGUGAUCCAGGGAGAUCUCGGUUUUGAACCAGUUGUUUCUCCAGAAUUUACUUUUGCAAUUAACUUUUAUGUGGUAUGUGUUAUGGUAUGUCUAAUAUUUUGGAAAAUCAUGUUUUAAUUACAGUGAAGGAUAUCUUUUCAGUCUCUUGAUUUUAAUUUUGUAACCUAAGCAAUGAUAAAAGUAUCAAAGUGUAUUGAUAUUUUGAUUAUUGAUAAUAAAUUAAAUAAAUAUUACAUAAUAAAUCAGGAGUUGCUUAAUGUCAGCAAAUGAAAUUGAUGAUAUAUUUGUUAAUGACCCAAUGACAUUUGCCUUCCCUAACUUAUUUGUAGCAUUUUAUAUGUGACUUGUGAUUUCUAUUUGUCCUAACUUCUAUUCAUAGUUUUGGCCGCAUCCAUUCCUUUAUUACCCUGGCUGACCAAGUUAUUUAUAGAUAGUGGCUGGCUGGAAUCCUCAGUAGAAGUACUCAAAGCAUCUCAUGUUGAUCAUCUUGAUGAAGAGAUGAAAGGACCUUACAGUACACUGUUUACAGCUAUUAUUAAGAGUGAUGGUACAGUGUACAAGAAGUUUGUUGACCUGGGAGGUGAAACCAUUGCAAGAAAGCAUGGAAUGGAUGAAUUGCAAGCAGCCCUGACAACAUGUGCAAGGUAGUAAGACUGGUGUAUCUACACAUCUCAUUGUUCUUCUGUUGCAUCUCACUCUGAGGAUUUGAGGGGUUGAUUUGGCAGAUCACACUUAAUUGUGAUGUAGAAAACAGGAGCUUCAUUUAGGCAUGUUUGAAGAGAUUGUUUGAUGGUAUUCACAAAUUCAUCUAUGAGGUCAAAGAAUGUAUUGUGAGGUCACAAACCAUUCUAUGAUGUCACAGACUUCAUUCUGACAUUACUCUUUAGAGGAUCAGGUGAUGCACAGAGAAAACAAACAUUUGUCUUCUUUUUCUUGUUGAUUGUAGGGAAUAUUGUUUUCCAAGAAGUAAAACAUCCAUAGUAGCUGCAUUCCCUGUGGAACAGACAAAAAUUGAGUGUUGAUUCUCAUAUAUUUUUGCCUGAAUACAUGUAAUAGUGAAAAAUAUGUUAGAAAUCCUUAACUAUUAGACUGCUAUAGGCUUAACCCUAUUUAGGCCGGGGGGGGGGGGGAUGGGAUGAGUCGUGCGAUAUUUUCGCUGAGCAAAAUUUUUGACCAUGCUACUCAUUGACUUUUUACUUCCAAGUCUUGCGCAGCUUUUGAGACCAAUUUUGCAUCACCUGGGUAUCCGGUUCCGAAAUUACGCAACUUUAUGUUAGUGCAUGUCACACCAAAAAUUGCUCAAAAAUGUGAUUUCGUGUACAAAGUCAAUGUAAAUUGUGUUUUCAACCAAAAUCAUAAAUGUAUGAUUAGUUUCAGUUUUGUUGUUCCAAAUGUAUUUAUUUCAUGCUGUUUAUGAUCUUAGAAGAGUCCCCUACAAAUUUCAUUGAAAAACAAUGAAAAACAA
rnacentral:lncRNA from 1 species